GGGUCCAGAAUAGGAAAUAGAUUCUGGAGGCAAAAUAAGGAUAGCCGGGCCGCUAUCU
rnacentral:ncRNA from 1 species